rnacentral:rRNA from 1 species
CCUACGGGAGGCAGCAGUGGGGAAUAUUGCACAAUGGGGGCAACCCUGAUGCAGCGACGCCGCGUGAGCGAUGAAGUAUUUCGGUAUGUAAAGCUCUAUCAGCAGGGAAGAAAAUGACGGUACCUGGCUAAGAAGCCCCUGCUAAAUACGUGACAGCAGCCGCGGUACGACGUAGGGGGCAAGCUUUAACCGAGUUUACUGGGUGUAAAGGGAGCGUAGCGGGUUCGGCAAGCCAGAUGGGAAAGCCCGGGGCUUAACCCCGGGACUGCAUUUGAAAGGGUAAGGCUAGAGUGUCGAAGAGGCAGGCGGAAUGCCUAGUGUAGCGGUGAAAUGCGUAGAUAUUAGGAGGAACACCAGUGGCGAAGGCGGCCUGCUGGACGAUGACUGACGUUGAGGCUCGAAAGCGUGGGGAGCAAACAGGAUUAGAUACCCUAGUAGUC